rnacentral:piRNA from 1 species
UAGGAGACAAAGAUAGGGGAUUUGCUC